CCCUUAGAUGUUCUGGGCUGCACGCGCGCUACACUGAAGCGUUCAACGAGUAUUCACCUUGCCCGGGAGGGUUGGGUAAUCUUUUGAAAACGCUUCGUGAUGGGGAUAGAUUAUUGCAAUUAUGGGUCUUCAACGAGGAAUUCCUAGUAAACGCAAGUCAUCAGCUUGCAUUGAUUACGUCCCUGCCCUUUGUACACACCGCCCGUCGCACCUACCGAUUGAAUGGUCCGGUGAAAUCUCGGGACGGCGGCUUGGUCGCUUGCGUCCGACUGCUGAAACUUGAUUAAACCAUAUCAUUUAGAGGAAGGUGAAGUCGUAACA
rnacentral:rRNA from 1 species